UCUAAAAUUUAGAACGCGCAUCAACUAUGGACUAGUCGAAUCAAUAAGGGUUCGCUAGUCUAAUAAUGUUUAACAGUAAAUGAAUAUUUAACUUGAAUAACAUCUCAAAAGGUAUACAAUAGAAUAAUUAUUGUAUAACAACAUCAUGCUUGAAGAUUAAUAAACUUUAAUAUCCAAGACAGGCUUGAUCAAUAAUAAUGAGAACUUGCUCAAUAUCGAAAGAGGAAUUAAUCAAUUUAUAUAACGAUAACAAGUAAAGUUAGGAAACUUGAUCAACGAAAGUUUAGGGUAAGAAACUUGCUCAACGUAAAUGUCGAGUUAGAAAACUUGCUCAAUGUAACAAGAUAAGGUUUAGAAACUUG
rnacentral:lncRNA from 1 species